rnacentral:lncRNA from 1 species
ACAGAGUCACAGACAACCAUAACAAACAACAAACAAAGGCCAAAUUAUAUUAAUUGUACAAACGUUACUUAAUGGAACUUGAGGCUGGUCAAGAUGUUGUUGUGAACUGGGUCAGCCAAAUGAUCCAGAAGGUUCUGGUAAGGCCCCACACCAGUCACAAGACCCUGAAUAAAAUAACCCAAUAUUGCCAGCAUGGCAAGCCUCCCAUUCUUCACUUCCUUGAGCUUUAACUCGUUCAACGACUUUUCAUCUUUCCCAAACCCUAGCGGGUUGAACAAGGGCCCACCAGGGUAAGCCGGGUUCCCGGACCCACCCAAGUACUUCUCAAACCCCAAGAAGUAUUGCUUGCCCAUGGACCCGGGGUUGUACCAGUCCUGGAACCUCCGGUGCUCGGCGAACCCCAUUAGGGCAAGUUCAAAGACAAAGAGCGU